UUAUACAGCGAAACUGCGAAUGGCUCAUUAUAUAAGUUAUCGUUUAUUUGAUAGUACCUUACUACUUGGAUAACCGUGGUAAUUCUAGAGCUAAUACAUGCUAAAAAUCCCGACUUCGGAAGGGAUGUAUUUAUUAGAUUAAAAACCAAUGCCCUCUGGGCUCCUUGGUGAUUCAUAAUAACUUUUCGAAUCGCAUGGCCUUGCGCCGGCGAUGGUUCAUUCAAAUUUCUUCCCUAUCAACUUUCGAUGUUUGGGUAUUGGCCAAACAUGGUCGCAACGGGUAACGGAGGGUUAGGGCUCGACCCCGGAGAAGGAGCCUGAGAAACGGCUACUACAUCCAAGGAAGGCAGCAGGCGCGCAAAUUACCCAAUCCCGAUUCGGGGAGGUAGUGACAAUAAAUACUGAUACAGGGCUCUUUUGGGUCUUGUAAUUGGAAUGAGUACAAUUUAAAUCCCUUAACGAGGAACAAUUGGAGGGCAAGUCUGGUGCCAGCAGCCGCGGUAAUUCCAGCUCCAAUAGCGUAUAUUAAAGUUGUUGUGGUUAAAAAGCUCGUAGUUGAACCUUGGGCCUGGCUGGCCGGUCCGCCUCACCGCGUGUACUGGUCCGGCCGGGCCUUUCCCUCUGUGGAACCUCAUGCCCUUCACUGGGUGUGGCGGGGAAACAGGACUUUUACUUUGAAAAAAUUAGAGUGCUCCAGGCAGGCCUAUGCUCGAAUACAUUAGCAUGGAAUAAUGAAAUAGGACGUGUGGUUCUAUUUUGUUGGUUUCUAGGACCGCCGUAAUGAUUAAUAGGGACAGUCGGGGGCAUCAGUAUUCAAUUGUCAGAGGUGAAAUUCUUGGAUUUAUUGAAGACUAACUACUGCGAAAGCAUUUGCCAAGGAUGUUUUCAUUAAUCAGGAACGAAAGUUAGGGGAUCGAAGACGAUCAGAUACCGUCGUAGUCUUAACCAUAAACUAUGCCGACUAGGGAUCGGACGAUGUUAUUUUUUGACGCGUUCGGCACCUUACGAGAAAU
rnacentral:rRNA from 1 species